UUUUGGAUCGUGCAUCUGCAGUGGACAGAUGUAGAUUCAGCCACCUGAUGACCUCAUCUGUGACAAGCCCUCCCCUUCAGACACCGUUAGUGAUUCAGCAGCACUGCCUACAGGACACCUGUGAUUCCGCCGGUAUUUUAAGUCACCUGUUGUCCAGACCUCGUCAGCUGAAUAGCCUGUUGUGCUAAAGGUUCACCACAGAGAAGGCAGUGGUUAACGUUGAGUGGGCCUAAACAUCCGAUCCAUAAACGAGGUGGAGUCAGAGCUGGGUUGACUACUUACUGCAUUGUGUGAGGUGGAUGGGCCCCUGUGAAUGUGGUUGCCAACUGCCGUUUGUUUGGCUGUACGAUUUUCCUCAUCUUGUUGGCCUUCUUUAUUCCCCCCCUCUUGGUGUUCUGCUGGACGGACAGGGGGUUGGAUUGUGGGAACCCCUUUCCCCUUCAAUGCAUGUGAUGGUGGCUGUGCACCAGGGUGAGUGGUGGUGUCAAGGCACCUGGGUGGCUCACAGGUAACCCCCACCCAGCAGGUCUGGCUCCUGUAGAUGCUGAGGCGUCUAACGGUGUGCUUUUAUCCCUUAGCAUCUCCGGCAGUAUUGGCAUCCACAUCUUACUUGGUUUUAUUGUUGUGCAGCGAAUAAAAUUGCCCAAAGCCUG